ensembl:lncRNA
CAAUUUAACACCUGAUUUUACAUUACAGGCCAAACAGGCUGGACAUGUUUAUCUGCCUGUGCACAUCCUGGAAACACUCUAGGCCGCCAAGUCAUCCAGAUCGUGUGGAGGUCAGUCAUAAUCUGACAUUCAACUCCGGAUGAAGGAAUCGUUCCAGGCCAUUCAAAUUGGCUGUUUGAAAGAUUUCUGUGUCGAGGUCAAUGCUUUGACACAAUUCUAUCUCUGAGGUCUGCGGGAAGUUCCUUGGACGCCAGUGGUCGCCAAUCAAGAGACAUCUCAAGGAUAAUCAAAGGAAACAGGGUGCAUUAGAGCUCAAUUCGGAGUGUCAUGGCUAAGAGAAUACUUACUGGAUAUACAUCAGAUAUUUCGGUUGAUAAUUUGUAAAACAUUGUCACAAAUGUCCAGAAAAAAGAUUUUGCUUUGUCGUUUUGGUGUACUGUGUGUAGAUUGAUGGCAAACAAAAUUUGACUAUUCAAUUAGAAAUUAAGUUUAUUACACAACAAAAUUGAAGAAAGUGAAGGGUUCUUAAUCCUUUCCAAAGCCACAGACAAUAUUUAGUUUAUGUUUAUUUCAGAAUGUGGCACAUUUUAACCUCAAUAUGUAUAUAGUGCAUCAUAGUUUCACCACCUCAUGCAUUAGUUACGGAAUAUUAUCAAGCCGGUUCUCCAAAGGUUAGGUAGAAAUUUCAACUAUAUAUGACUCUAAAAAUAAUUUCAG